rnacentral:rRNA from 1 species
ACUUUGGUGGCGACCGGCGCACGGGUGAGUAACGCGUAUGCAACCUACCUAUCAGGAGGGGACUAACCCGGCGAAAGUCGGACUAAUACCGCAUAAAACAGGGGCACCGCAUGGUGAUAUUUGUUAAAAAUUUAUUGCUGAUGGAUGAACAUGCGACUGAUUAGUUUGUUGGUGAGGUAACGGCUCACCAAGACUACGAUCAGUAGGGGUACUGAGAGGUUAAACCCCCACACUGGUACUGAGACACGGACCAGACUCCUACGGGAGGCAGCAGUAAGGAAUAUUGGACAAUGGCCGCAAGGCUGAUCCAGCCAUGCCGCGUGCAGGAAGACGGACCUAUGGUUUGUAAACUGCUUUUGAACGGGACGAAAACCCCCCUACGUGUAGGGGGCUGAUAGUACUGUUAGAAUAAGCAUCGGCUAACUUCGUG